UACGGAGGGUGCAAGCGUUAUCCGGAUUCACUGGGUUUAAAGGGCGCGUAGGCGGCCAGCGCAAGUCGGUUGUGAAAUCUCCGGGCUUAACUCGGAAAGGUCAACUGAUACUGCGCGGCUAGAGUGCAGAAGGGGCAACUGGAAUUCUCGGUGUAGCGGUGAAAUGCGUAGAUAUCGAGAGGAACACCUGCGGCGAAGGCGGGUUGCUGGGCUGACACUGACGCUGAUGCGCGAAAGCCAGGGGAGCGAACGGG
rnacentral:rRNA from 1 species